GAGUUUGAUUCAUGGCUCAGGAUGAACGCUGACAGAAUGCUUAACACAUGCAAGUCAACUUGAACUUCGGUUUGGGUGGCGGACGGGUGAGUAACGCGUAAAGAACUUGCCUCACAGUUAGGGACAACAUUUGGAAACGAAUGCUAAUACCUGAUAUUAUGAUUUUAGGGCAUCCUAGAAUUAUGAAAGCUAUAUGCGCUGUGAGAGAGCUUUGCGUCCCAUUAGCUAGUUGGAGAGGUAACGGCUCACCAAGGCGACGACGGGUAGCCGGCCUGAGAGGGUGACCGGCCACACUGGAACUGAGAUACGGUCCAGACUCCUACGGGAGGCAGCAGUGGGGAAUAUUGGGCAAUGGGAGGAAUCCUGACCCAGCGACGCCGCGUGAACGAAGACGGCCUUCGGGUUGUAAAGUUCUUUUAUGUGGGAAGAAGGAAGUGACGGUACCACAUGAAUAAGCCCCGGCUAACUACGUGCCAGCAGCCGCGGUAAUACGUAGGGGGCGAGCGUUGUCCGGAAUUACUGGGCGUAAAGGGCACGCAGGCUGUGCUUCAAGUCAGCUGUAAAAGGAUGCGGCUUAACCGUGUUAUGCAGUUGAGACUGAGGUGCUGGAGUACCGGAGAGGCAAGUGGAAUUCCCAGUGUAGCGGUGAAAUGCGUAGAUAUUGGGAAGAACAUCGGUGGCGAAGGCGACUUGCUGGACGGUAACUGACGCUGAGGUGCGAAAGCCAGGGUAGCGAACGGGAUUAGAUACCCCGGUAGUCCUGGCUGUAAACGAUGAAUGCUAGGUGUGCGAGCAGAGAUGUUGGUGUGCCGCAGUUAACGCGAUAAGCAUUCCGCCUGGGGAGUACGGUCGCAAGAUUGAAACUCAAAGGAAUUGACGGGGGCCCGCACAAGCGGUGGAGCACGUGGUUUAAUUCGAUGCAAACCGAAGAACCUUACCUGGGUUUGACAUGUAUGUGGUAGGAGCCGGAAACGGUGACGACGCUGCUUUCGGGUAGUGAGCAUACACAGGUGCUGCAUGGCUGUCGUCAGCUCGUGUCGUGAGAUGUUGGGUUAAGUCCCGCAACGAGCGCAACCCCUGCGAUUAGUUGCCAGCGGUUAGGCCGGGCACUCUAAUGGGACUGCCAUCGACAAGAUGGAGGAAGGUGGGGAUGACGUCAAGUCAUCAUGGCCCUUAUGUCCAGGGCGACACACGUGCUACAAUGGCCGGUACAGAGGGAAGCGAGGCUGUGAGGUUGAGCGGAUCCCCUAAAGCCGGUCUCAGUUCGGAUUGAAGUCUGCAAUUCGACUUCAUGAAGCUGGAAUCGCUAGUAAUCGCAGAUCAGCCAAGCUGCGGUGAAUACGUUCCCGGGCCUUGUACACACCGCCCGUC
rnacentral:rRNA from 1 species